UUUUUGCAGCACAAGAGAACUCCUAUAAUUGAAUGGAUGAAAGUUGAUAUACUGUAUGGAUAUAUCUAGAUCACCAAUUAAUGCACAGAAACUAGCGAGAACAGUAUAAUUUUCACAAGCAAAAACAAAACAUGCCCCUCCCUACUCUAUAAUCAACACAUGAAAUGCUUUCACCAAGACCAACCAAAAAUUUCCAUUGCGUAGUCUGCAUCUGGCAAAAGCAGAGAGGAAACUAAACAAAACCCAUGGAAUUGAUGCCGUCCUCAGCCACCUUAUGCAUCUUCAGGUUAGUCUCAGUCAAUUUUGACAGAUGAGUAAAUCUUUCGGACAAACCAGAAGCAAGCAUAGAAGCCAACUGCUCCAGUCAAAACAAAGAAAGCAUAAGAUAUGAU
rnacentral:misc_RNA from 1 species